rnacentral:rRNA from 1 species
CCCUUAGAUGUUCUGGGCCGCACGCGCGCUACACUGAUGCAUUCAACGAGUCUAAAACCUGCUCUGAUAGGGGUGGGUAAUCUUUUGAAUGUGCAUCGUGAUUGGGAUAGAUGAUUGCAAUUUUUCAUCUUCAACGAGGAAUGCCUAGUAAACGCAAGUCAUCAGCUUGCAUUGAUUACGUCCCUGCCCUUUGUACACACCGCCCGUCGCUCCUACCGAUUGAAUGAUCCGAUGAAUAUCAUAGAUUGAGAGUAUAAGCAGGUUCGCCUGUCUUUGCUUCUCGGGAAGUGAAGUAAAUCUUAUCAUUUAGAGGAAGGAGAAGUCGUAACA